AGUCGAACGGGAUUGAGAGCUUGCUUUCAUGAGAGUGGCGUACGGGUGCGUAACGCGUAUGCAACCUACCUUCAUCAGGGGGAUAGCCCGAAGAAAUUCGGAUUAACACCGCAUAAAAACACAGCUUGGCAUCAAGCAAUGUUCAAAUAUUUAUAGGAUGAAGAUGGGCAUGCGUGUCAUUAGCUAGUUGGUAAGGUAACGGCUUACCAAGGCUACGAUGACUAGGGGAUCUGAGAGGAUGACCCCCCACACUGGUACUGAGACACGGACCAGACUCCUACGGGAGGCAGCAGUAAGGAAUAUUGGUCAAUGGAGGCAACUCUGAACCAGCCAUGCCGCGUGCAGGAAGACUGCCUUAUGGGUUGUAAACUGCUUUUAUACGGGAAUAAACCUUAAUUCGUGAAUUAAGCUGAAUGUACCGUAAGAAUAAGGAUCGGCUAACUCCGUGCCAGCAGCCGCGGUAAUACGGAGGAUCCAAGCGUUAUCCGGAUUUAUUGGGUUUAAAGGGAGCGUAGGCGGCUUGUUAAGUCAGGGGUGAAAGACGGUGGCUCAACCAUCGCAGUGCCUUUGAUACUGACGAGCUUGAAUAUAGUUGAGGUAGGCGGAAUGUGACAAGUAGCGGUGAAAUGCAUAGAUAUGUCACAGAACACCGAUGCGAAGGCAGCUUACUAAGCUAUUAUUGACGCUGAGCUCGAAGCGUGGGGAUCAAACAGGAUAGAUACCCUGGUAGUCCACGCCCUAAACGAUGAUACUCGAUGUGGCGAUAUACAGUCAGCGUC
rnacentral:rRNA from 1 species